rnacentral:rRNA from 3 species
GGACUACUGGGGUAUCUAAUCCCGUUCGCUACCCUGGCUUUCGUUCCUCAGCGUCAGAAAAGCCCCAGUGAGCCGCCUUCGCCUCCGGUAUUCCUGAUGAUAUCAACGCAUUUCACCGCUCCACCAUCAGUUCUGCUCACCUCUAGCUUCCUCAAGCACGGUAGUUUGGAGCGCAAUUCCUCGGUUAAGCCGAGGGCUUUCACACCCCACUUUUCGCGCCGCCUACGAACUCUUUAAGCCCAGUAAAUCCGAAUAACGUUUGGGCCUCUCGUAUUACCGCGGCUGCUGGCAC